UUUCAUUUUCCCUCUCCAGUGAAAAAAUAGGCGCCUUUAUUUCCUCCACCUUUUCAUUUCCUACUUUCCCCCAAAUCAGAAAAAAAAAACCUAAAACAGUGAAAUUUUCUCUUUUCUCUCAUUAGAUCUGAAAUUUCCCUCUCCUAUUCUCUCGUUGCAGCUUAACUUUCUCUUUGUCUUCUUUGAUCUAAAGUGUUGAUUUCAAUUAUAGUGACUUGCAUCGCCAGAACGAUGCACCCAGUAGAAGAGCCAAACAACCAAAGGCCGCAAACUUUUCACUCAGUGGUGGAUCCUUCUCCCUCCAACUAACCUCAUCGGAACCCUCGUCGUUGUCUAUGGCUUCGCCGGCUAACUCACCGUUGUUUACUUCACUAAGUCCGGUUUUUCCACUUGUGCCAUCGACAAUCAAGGCCACGGUUUCUCCGACGGUUUAAUCACUCAUAUCCCUGAAAUCAACCCCGUCGAUGAUGAACCCAUCACCUUCUUCUAAUCCUUCCGCUCUCGCUUCGAUCCCUCACUUCCUUCCUUUAUCUACUCAAAAUCUCUCGAUGGAGCUAUCGCGCUUUACCUCACACUCCGCCGAACCAGAUUACCAUGGAACGACCUCAUCCUCAACAGCGUCACGUGUGGGUCAGUGAUAAGUUCAAACCAUUUUUUUUGGCUUCUCGUUAUUUAUAGGAAUUUCUCACUUUGUAAUGCUUGAAAAAUCAAAUAUAUUAAAUCCUGGGUUCUAAAUAUGACUGUGAAUGAGUGGCCGUGUCUUUUUAUUUUAAUGAAUUAAUGCUUUUAACGGAUUUGAUUAGUGCCUCCUUCAAGCUCUAAUGGAGAAAUUUUACUAACUGAUUCUUUAGUUUUAAUUUAUAACAAUCCAUUGACAACAAAUUGUCUUUCCAAAAGAAGUUUUGGUUAUGGAGUAGUAUAACAAGGAACUAGAAGUCAAGGACAAACAUACAUUCUUACCCCUCCAUAGUCUGAACCUGUAAUAGUAGUGGAAGCACACCACCAGUACAACCACCAUGUGAUUUAUUGUACUAGAAUAUGGAUGAUACGGUUCCAUCUUGGGCAGAGUUGGAAGAGAAGAAUGUUAUGGCUUUAGCCAUCGUUCCCGUCGGUAAUUCUAAUCAACAACCUUUUGUUGUUUUAAAUAAUGGAAAUGGAACCAGUCGGUGGAAAUUGGAACUUGUUUUGGCUCAUAGUUCAAAUGAGAGUGUUGCAGCAACUAGCAAAUUGGACUGCCUCUUGAAUUAGUUGAUUUUGGGGUUUCGCAUCAAAAUGAAGCCAAUGAUGUCUUGAGUGGACAUGAUAGGAGAUUUUUGCAAGCAAGCCUUAGUCUUUUUUUUACGGAAUAAUCUGGGAGCUCCCAACCUUUUUCAUGUGCUAACUUAUGAUGAUCAUGAAGAGUACUGGAUUAUGGAUCUGUUGUCAACUAUAUGAAUUAGCUGAAGAUCACAAGAGCUGAUACUUACAAGUCGGUUAAUUAUCCAAUGCAUAUUAUAAUCUCUCAAGACAUAUACAAGAUGAAAGUCUUUAGUUUUCACUGUUCAUAAGACUUUGUUGUUGUUGUUUGUCGUUGUAAUAGUUAAUUAGAGUGAGUGAAAUUGGUAGAUAUUUUACAUUAGAAAUUUGAAUUUAAUGAUUUAUGAUAAU